GCGGGAGUGGGUGUUUCGGAAGUGACAUCUCUUGGGCAGUAACCUUGUUUCCUGUGUGGUGGAGUUGGGGGCGGAUUCAAGGCGCUAGCAGCGCAGCAACAGUGACGCCGUGUGGACGCUUUGGGUGAGCAAUGGGGAACCCGGGACGUGCCGCGCGAGGGCUGGGUGAAUGAUCUAAUAGCCCUGUGAAGGACUUGUGACCUGUGCAGGAUGUCAGCCUCUCACCCUAUCACAACUGGGAUGGGCUCCAGCACCUACAACUGUCAAUUGGAUGGAUACAAAAUGGAUGGAUGGACACAGAGAGAGUAAAUUACUGCAUUAUAACAAUGAAUCAGAGAAGCCUGAUGUUCUACUAGUUCUGAAGAUUCUCACCUGCAAUGCAUGAGCUUGUGUGUAAGCUUGAUAUUUGCUGGUUACAUACAGUGAAAUAGUUCAUUGAUAAUGUAUCAUCUAUUAAAACAAAGUUAAUGAUAUAAUAUAUUGAGCAUAAUAAUCUUUUUCUGUAGAAAACUUUUAUAUAUAGAUAUAGAGAUAGAUAGAUAUCUCUGAAUAAUUGUAUAUAAUGACGUAUUUUUAAAAAGCAAUGCUUUUAGAUAUAUGUAGUUAAAUAUAGAUUAAUGCAGCAGUCCCCAACUCUGUUUUAUUUGUACACACACACACACACA
ensembl:lncRNA